GAUGAAGAACGUAGCGAAAUGCGAUAAGUAAUGCGAAUUGCAGAAUUUCCGUGAGUCAUCGAAUCUUUGAACGCACAUUGCGCCCACUGGUAUUCCGGUGGGCAUGCCUGUUCGAGCGUCAUUAUCCUCCCUCAAACCCCGGGUUUGGUGUUGGACCCAAGUUGUGUGAACAACUGGUCUCAAAGACAAUGAUGGCGUCCGUGGGACCCUCGGUGCAACGAGCUUUUAGGAGCACGCAUCGAGUUGCAAGGACCUUCCGGGCCGGUCUCCUUUACCAUUUUACAAGGUUGACCUCGGAUCAGGUAGGAAUACCCGCUGAACUUAAGCAUAUCAAUAAGCGGAGGA
rnacentral:misc_RNA from 1 species